rnacentral:rRNA from 1 species
AUUGAACGCUGGCGGCAUGCCUUACACAUGCAAGUCGAACGGUAACAGGUCUUCGGAUGCUGACGAGUGGCGAACGGGUGAGUAAUACAUCGGAACGUGCCUAGUCGUGGGGGAUAACUACUCGAAGGAGUGGCUAAUACCGCAUGAAACCUUCGCAUGAAAGUAGGGGAUCGCAAGAACUUGUGCUACUCGACUGGCCGAGGGCAGAUUAUGGAGUUGGUGGGAUAACAGCUGACCAAGCCGACGAUCUGUAGCUGGUCUGAGAGGACGAUCAGCCACACUGGGAAUGAGAAACGGCCCAGAUUCCUACGAGAGGCAGCAGUGGGGAAUUUUGGACAAUGGGCGCAAGCCUGAUCCAGCAAGGCCGCGUGCAGGAUGAAGGCCUUCGGGUUGUAAACUGCUUUUGUACGGAACGAAAAGCCCCGGGUUAAUACCCUGGGGUCAUGACGGUACCGUAAGAAUAAGCACCGGCUAACUACGUGCCAGCCGCCGCAGUAA